UUUACUUUUAAAGUAAGCAUUAUUCUUUAAUGGAAAAGAAAAAAGGAAACCAUGUUUUUAAUAUCCCCAAGAUCUACAAUAGAAAACAAUGUGGAUUUCCGUCAAAGAUGGGUCUUGAUUAAGUUCUGUUGGCACUCUUCUGCUGGAGGUUGCUUUGGGCAGAGACCCCCCCCCCCCCCCAGGAAAGCUCCUGAAAGGAAGCACGUGACAAGUCAUCUGACCGACCCGACGCAGGACCAGGAGAAGGCUGAGAGCGAGACGAGGACACCCGAGCCUUCCCCCAGGAGGAAGGGGCGUAGGGGCGGGGCCUCGGUGUGCCGCGGGCCUCCACCCCUCAUUUCUGCCUCCCCAGCCGGACAAGGGUUGUCUGGGCUCAGCGCUCCUGUCCUAGAGCCCCUAACCCACGUGUGUCUCCUUGCAGCUCUGUGCAGCAGAGUCCCCGAGACCCUUACCCCACUGUUUGGCACCGAGUAGUGGUGUCCUGUCAGCGGUGUGAUCCCUGGGAGCUUGCGCCCCUCCCGGUGGGACAGGCCCGUGAGGGCCCACUGAGUUCUGCCUGAAGCUCGUGGACCAGUGGCAGCACUCACGUUAGGGUGAUUAUCCCCCACGUUGGUCCCAACCAAUGUAAAUUUAUGACCGAGUUUAUAGCUAUCACUGCCGGCACAGAUUUUCUCUUGCCCCAAACCAAGAAUAUUCCACAAACUAACAAUUAAAACAAAGCCAAACUUA